AAAAAAAAAAAAGAAAAGAAAAUCAGGUCAAAAUUUGUCGCUGAGAAAAAUAUAUGGCGACGGCUUUGCUCAACACGACCAGAAGCUCUAACUCUAACCUCUAUAACCACCUCUCAAUUCUCCCGUCCUUCUCCCCACGGUCUCACAUCCGCCGUCAAAAUAUCGUCUUUCUAGUAGUGACUCCACGACGCUUACGCCGUCUCGCCGGCGUUGGUCGCCCUCCAUCUCCUCCAAGUCCUGAUCCGCCUCCGCCUGAGAACACCAAUCAGCUCGAAGGUAUUGUAGGAGCUGUGACAGAGAUUCAAGACCGCGUAAAGAUCUUCCUGGCAGUGUUGUUUUGGAUGUCUCUAUUCUUCUGGGUUACAGUGGUUGAUGGGAUGGGUAAAGGAAAAGGGAAGAAGGGUUCACGUUUCAAAUAAUUUCCCAGCUUGGUGUUGAUUGCUCCUCCUCAUCAUCAUUAAUAUUCCACGCACUUUGUAUAUUUAUGGUCUCGAAAGAUCAAAGCUAAGCAAAGCAUAUUUCUUGUAUAUCAGUCUAUUCACAUGAUAGGAUCCAAUAAUAUACAUUAUAAGAUGACUACAAAGUACAAACAGCCCCAAACAAAGUGAAGAGAACAGAGAUUGUGUUCGUUGCUCCAACGGGUGAGGAGAUCAGUACCAGAAAGCAGCUGGACCACUAUCUCAAAUCGCAUCCUGGAAGCCCUGCCAUCGC